rnacentral:rRNA from 1 species
CGGGUGACGAGCGGCGGACGGGUGAGUAAUGUCUGGGAAACUGCCUGAUGGAGGGGGAUAACUACUGGAAACGGUAGCUAAUACCGCAUAACGUCUACGGACCAAAGUGGGGGACCUUCGGGCCUCACGCCAUCAGAUGUGCCCAGAUGGGAUUAGCUAGUAGGUGGGGUAAUGGCUCACCUAGGCGACGAUCCCUAGCUGGUCUGAGAGGAUGACCAGCCACACUGGAACUGAGACACGGUCCAGACUCCUACGGGAGGCAGCAGUGGGGAAUAUUGCACAAUGGGCGCAAGCCUGAUGCAGCCAUGCCGCGUGUGUGAAGAAGGCCUUAGGGUUGUAAAGCACUUUCAGCGAGGAGGAAGGGUUCAGUGUUAAUAGCACUGUGCAUUGACGUUACUCGCAGAAGAAGCACCGGCUAACUCCGUGCCAGCAGCCGCGGUAAUACGGAGGGUGCAAGCGUUAAUCGGAAUUACUGGGCGUAAAGCGCACGCAGGCGGUUUGUUAAGUCAGAUGUGAAAUCCCCGCGCUUAACGUGGGAACUGCAUUUGAAACUGGCAAGCUAGAGUCUUGUAGAGGGGGGUAGAAUUCCAGGUGUAGCGGUGAAAUGCGUAGAGAUCUGGAGGAAUA